GACGAACGCUGGCGGCGUGCCUAAUACAUGCAAGUUGAGCGCUGAAGGUUGGUACUUGUACUGAUUGGAUGAGCAGCGAACGGGUGAGUAACGCGUGGGUAAUCUGCCUUUGAGCGGGGGACAACAUUGGGAAACGAAUGCUAAUACCGCAUAAAAACUUUAAACACAAGUUUUAAGUUUGAAAGAUGCAAUUGCAUCACCUAAAGAUGAUCCCGCGUUGUAUUAGCUAGUUGGUGAGGUAAAGGCUCACCAAGGCAAUGAUACAUAGCCGAUCUGAGAGGGUGAUCGGCCACACUGGAACUGAGACACGGCCCAGACUCCUACGGGAGGCAGCAGUAGGGAAUCUUCGGCAAUGGGCGAAAGCCUGACGGAGAAACGCCGCGUGAGUGAAGAAGGUUUUCGGAUCGUAAAACUCUGUUGGUAGGGAAGAACAUAGGUGGAAGUAAAAGGGCAAAUAAUGACGGUAACUAACCAGAAAGGGACGGCUAAAUACGUG
rnacentral:rRNA from 1 species